CACAUGCAAGUCGAGGGGUAUAUGUCUUCGGAUAUAGAGACCGGCGCACGGGUGCGUAACGCGUAUGCAAUCUACCUUUUACAGAGGGAUAGCCCAGAGAAAUUUGGAUUAAUACCUCAUAGUAUAGCUCUACCGCAUGGUAGUACUAUUAAAGUCACAACGGUAAAAGAUGAGCAUGCGUCCCAUUAGCUAGUUGGUAAGGUAACGGCUUACCAAGGCAACGAUGGGUAGGGGUCCUGAGAGGGAGAUCCCCCACACUGGUACUGAGACACGGACCAGACUCCUACGGGAGGCGGCAGUGAGGAAUAUUGGACAAUGGGCGCAAGCCUGAUCCAGCCAUGCCGCGUGCAGGAUGACGGUCCUAUGGAUUGUAAACUGCUUUUGUACGAGAAGAAACACUGCUUCGUGAAGCAGCUUGACGGUAUCGUAAGAAUAAGGAUCGGCUAACUCCGUGCCAGCAGCCGCGGUAAUACGGAGGAUCCAAGCGUUAUCCGGAAUCAUUGGGUUUAAAGGGUCCGUAGGCGGUUUAGUAAGUCAGUGGUGAAAGCCCAUCGCUCAACGGUGGAACGGCCAUUGAUACUGCUGAACUUGAAUUAUUAGGAAGUAACUAGAAUAUGUAGUGUAGCGGUGAAAUGCUUAGAGAUUACAUGGAAUACCAAUUGCGAAGGCAGGUUACUACUAAUUGAUUGACGCUGAUGGACGAGAGCGUGGGGAGC
rnacentral:rRNA from 1 species